rnacentral:rRNA from 1 species
UACGUAGGGUGCGAGCGUUGUCCGGAAUUAUUGGGCGUAAAGGGCUCGUAGGCGGUUUGUCGCGUCGGGAGUGAAAACCUUGGGCUUAACUCAGGGCUUGCUUUCGAUACGGGCAGACUAGAGGUAUGCAGGGGAGAACGGAAUUCCUGGUGUAGCGGUGAAAUGCGCAGAUAUCAGGAGGAACACCGGUGGCGAAGGCGGUUCUCUGCGCAUGAUCUGACGCUGAGGAGCGAAAGUGUGGGGAGCGAACAGG